rnacentral:rRNA from 1 species
GGCGUCUUCGGCGUCCGCAUUGUAAUCUCAAGAAGUGUUUUCCGCUUCGGACCAUGCCUAAGUCCCUUGGAAAAGGGCAUCAUAGAGGGUGAUAAUCCCGUACAUGGCAUGGAGCGCCCGAAGCUUUGUGAUACGCUUUCUACGAGUCGAGUUGUUUGGGAAUGCAGCUCAAAAUGGGUGGUAAAUGCCAUCUAAGGCUAAAUAUUGGGGAGAGACCGAUAGCGAACAAGUACAGUGAUGGAAAGAUGAAAAGAACUUUGAAAAGAGAGUUAAACAGUACGUGAAAUUGCCAAAAGGGAAGGGUAGGAGGUCAGAGAUGCGUCUUGGGAUUCAGCCUUGCUUUUGCAUGGUGUUUUUCCCAAGUUGCAGGCCAACGUCGGUUUUGGGCACUGGAGAAGGGUAGGAGGAACGUGGCACCUCUCGGGGUGUGUUAUAGCCUCCUACUGGAUACAGCGACCGAGACCGAGGAACGCAGCGUACUCGUAAGAGCGGGCCUUUUGGCACCUUUACGCUUAGGGCGUUGGCAUAAUGGCCCUCUACCACC